rnacentral:rRNA from 1 species
CAAACGCUGGCGGCGUGCCUAACACAUGCAAGUCGUACGAGAAAGGGUCCUUCGGGACCUGAGUAAAGUGGCGCACGGGUGAGUAACGCGUGGAUAAUCUACCCUUCAGUUGGGAAUAACUCAUCGAAAGGUGGGCUAAUACCGAAUAAUACUGUGAGACCUUGGUCGAUCAGUCAAAGAGAGCCUCUGCUUGCAUGCCCUUGCUGAAGGAUGAGUCCGCGUACCAUUAGCUAGUUGGUAGGGUAAUGGCCUACCAAGGCGACGAUGGUUAGCUGGUCUGAGAGGAUGAUCAGCCACACUGGAACUGAGACACGGUCCAGACUCCUACGGGAGGCAGCAGUGAGGAAUCUUGCGCAAUGGGGGCAACCCUGACGCAGCAACGCCGCGUGAGUGAGGAAGGUCUUCGGAUCGUAAAGCUCUGUCAGAUGGAAAGAACCGCAUAGGGGCAAAUAGUCCCUAUGUCUGACGGUACCAUCAAAGGAAGCACCGGCUAACUCCGUGCCAGCAGCCGCGGUAAUACGGGGGGUGCUAGCGUUGUUCGGAAUUAUUGGGCGUAAAGAGCGUGUAGGCGGCCUGAUGUGUCAGAUGUGAAAGCCCUGGGCUUAACCCAGGAAGUGCAUUUGAAACUAUCGGGCUUGAGUAGGGGAGAGGGAAGUGGAAUUCCUGGUGUAGAGGUGAAAUUCGUAGAUAUCAGGAGGAACACCGGUGGCGAAGGCGACUUCCUGGCCCUAUACUGACGCUGAGACGCGAGAGCGUGGGUAGCAAACAGGAUUAGAUACCCUGGUAGUCCACGCCCUAAACGAUGUCAACUAGGUGUUGGGGGAGGAGACUUCCUUAGUACCGCAGCUAACGCGUGAAGUGACCCGCC